UGAGGAAUAUUGGUCAAUGGGCGAGAGCCUGAACCAGCCAAGUAGCGUGCAGGAUGACGGCCCUAUGGGUUGUAAACUGCUUUUAUGUGGGGAUAAAGUGCGUGACGUGUCAUGCAUUGCAGGUACACAUGAAUAAGGACCGGCUAAUUCCGUGCCAGCAGCCGCGGUAAUACGGAAGGUCCGGGCGUUAUCCGGAUUUAUUGGGUUUAAAGGGAGCGUAGGCUGUCUAUUAAGCGUGUUGUGAAAUUUACCGGCUCAACCGGUGGCUUGCAGCGCGAACUGGUCGACUUGAGUAUGCAGGAAGUAGGCGGAAUUCAUGGUGUAGCGGUGAAAUGCUUAGAUAUCAUGACGAACUCCGAUUGCGCAGGCAGCUUACUGUAGCAUAACUGACGCUGAUGCUCGAAAGUGCGGGUAUCAAACAGG
rnacentral:rRNA from 1 species